rnacentral:rRNA from 1 species
CCUACGGGUGGCAGCAGUGAGGAAUAUUGGUCAAUGGACGAGAGUCUGAACCAGCCAAGUAGCGUGAAGGAUGACUGCCCUAUGGGUUGUAAACUUCUUUUAUAUGGGAAUAAAAUGUUCCCAGUGUGGGAUUUUGUAUGUACCAUAUGAAUAAAGAUCGGCUAACUCCGUGCCAGCAGCCGCGGUAAUACGGAGGAUCCGAGCGUUAUCCGGAUUUAUUGGGUUUAAAGGGAACGUAGGUGGAUUGUUAAGUAAGUUGUGAAAGUUUGCGGCUCAACCGUAAAAUUGCAGUUGAAACUGGCAGUCUUGAGUACAGUAGAGGAGGGCGGAACUCGGGGUGUAGCGGUGAAAUGCGUAGAUAUCACGAAGAACUCCGAUUGCGAAGGCAGUUCACUGGACUGCAACUGACACUGAGGCUCGAAAGUGUGGGUAUCAAACAGGAUUAGAUACCCUUGUAGUC